rnacentral:rRNA from 1 species
UUUGUGUAAGUUUUUAAGGGCACACGGUGGAUGCCUUGGCACCAGGAACCGAUGAAGGACGUAGGAAUCUGCGAUAAGCCUCGGGGAGUCGAUAACCGGACUGUGAUCCGAGGGUGUCCGAAUGGGGAAACCCAGCACCAUUCAUGUGGUGUUACCCGCAUCUGAACUCAUAGGGUGUGUGGAGGGAACGUGGGGAAGUGAAACAUCUCAGUACCCACAGGAAGAGAAAACAACAGUGAUUCCGUCAGUAGUGGCGAGCGAAAGCGGAUGAGGCUAAACCAUGGUUGUGUGAUACCUGUCAGGGGUUGCAAUUGUGGGGUUGUGGGGCCGUACCGUACCAGUGCUGACAUGCUGGUGAGAAGUGAUCAAUCGCGCGUGUAGUCGAAACGUUUUGAAUGGCGUGGCGUAGAGGGUGUAACCCCCGUAGGCGAAACAUGUGUGACUUCUUGGGUGUGGUUCCCGAGUAGCACGGGGCCCGUGAAAUCUCGUGUGAAUCUGGCAGGACCACCUGCUAAGCCUAAAUAUUCCCUGGUGACCGAUAGCGGACUAGUACCGUGAGGGAAAGGUGAAAAGUACCCCGGGAGGGGAGUGAAAUAGUACCUGAAACCGUGUGCUUACAAUCCGUCAGAGCCACCCUGGUUGUGGUGAUGGCGUGCCUUUUGAAGAAUGAGCCUGCGAGUUAGUGCUCAGUGGCGAGGUUAACCCGGGUGGGGUAGCCGUAGCGAAAGCGAGUCCGAACAGGGCGAUUGAGUCGCUGGGUCUAGACCCGAAGCGGAGUGAUCUACCCAUGGCCAGGUUGAAGCGACGGUAAGACGUCGUGGAGGACCGAACCCACUUCAGUUGAAAAUGGAGGGGAUGAGCUGUGGGUAGGGGUGAAAGGCCAAUCAAACUCCGUGAUAGCUGGUUCUCCCCGAAAUGCAUUUAGGUGCAGCGUCGCGUGUUUCGUGCCGGAGGUAGAGCUACUGGAUGGCUGAUGGGCCUCACCAGGUUACUGACGUCAGCCAAACUCCGAAUGCCGGUACGUGAGAGCGUGGCAGUGAGACUGCGGGGGAUAAGCUUCGUAGUCGAGAGGGAAACAGCCCAGAUCACCAGCUAAGGUCCCUAAGCGUGUGCUAAGUGGAAAAGGAUGUGGAGUUGCUGUGACAACCAGGAGGUUGGCUUAGAAGCAGCCACCCUUUAAAGAGUGCGUAAUAGCUCACUGGUCAAGUGAUUCCGCGCCGACAAUGUAGCGGGGCUCAAGCACACCACCGAAGCUGUGGCAAUCACACGUUUCUCUAGCAACACUUUGUGUUGUUCAGGGGUGUGGUUGGGUAGGGGAGCGUCGUGUCACCGGUGAAGCCGUGGUGUGAACCAACGGUGGAGGUGACACGAGUGAGAAUGCAGGCAUGAGUAGCGAAUGACGGGUGAGAAACCCGUCCGCCGAAUAACCAAGGGUUCCAGGGUCAAGCUCAUCUGCCCUGGGUAAGUCGGGACCUAAGGCGAGGCCGACAGGCGUAGUCGAUGGACAUCCGGUUGAUAUUCCGGAACCGGCGAAGGACCGCCCAUAUCGAAUCAGGGGAUGCUAACCACCCGAACCACCCCGUUUCACUCAUUGCCCCUUUCGGGGGGUGUGGGUGUGGUGGUGGGGAGCGUGGGACCCGAUCUUGUAGUAGGUAAGCGAGGGAGUGACGCAGGAAGGUAGCCUCCGCGGGGCGAUGGUUGUCCCCGUCCAAGACUGUAGGACUGCUGGUAGGCAAAUCCGCCAGCUGUAUGUCUGAGAGUUGAUGGUGACCACAGUAGUGGGAAGCAGGGUGAUCCUAUGCUGCCGAGAAAAACUUCUAGCGAGGUCCGAGCCGCCCGUACCCCAAACCGACUCAGGUGGUUAGGUAGAGAAUACUAAGGCGAUCGAGUGAAUCGUGGUUAAGGAAUUCGGCAAAAUGCCCCCGUAACUUCGGGAGAAGGGGGGCCCAAACCCUGAAGCUCUUCACGGGCUAGGGGCGAGGGCCGCAGAGACCAGGGAGAAGCGACUGUUUACUAAAAACACAGGUCCGUGCGAAGAAGUAAUUCGAUGUAUACGGACUGACGCCUGCCCGGUGCUGGAACGUUAAGGGGACCGGUUAGCCCUUUGGGNNNNNNNNNNNNNNNNNNNNNNNNNNNNNNNNNNNNNNNNNNNNNNNNNNNNNNNNNNNNNNNNNNNNNNNNNNNNNNNNNNNNNNNNNNNNNNNCUUUUGGGGCGACGCUGAGAACUUAAGCGCCAGUAAACGGCGGUGGUAACUAUAACCAUCCUAAGGUAGCGAAAUUCCUUGUCGGGUAAGUUCCGACCUGCACGAAUGGCGUAACGACUUCUCCACUGUCUCAACCACGAACUCGGCGAAAUUGCAGUACGAGUAAAGAUGCUCGUUACGCGCAGCAGGACGGAAAGACCCCGGGACCUUUACUACAGCUUGGUAUUGGUGUUCGGUACGGCUUGUGUAGGAUAGGUGGGAGACUAUGAAGCGCCCGCGCCAGCGGGUGUGGAGUCAACGUUGAAAUACCACUCUGGUCGUUCUGGGCUCCUAACCUCGGUCCGUGAUCCGGAUCAGGGACAGUGCCUGGUGGGUAGUUUAACUGGGGCGGUUGCCUCCUAAAAGGUAACGGAGGCGCCCAAAGGUUCCCUCAGCCUGGUUGGCAAUCAGGUAUCGAGUGUAAGUGCACAAGGGAGCUUGACUGUGAGACAGACAUGUCGAGCAGAGACGAAAGUCGGGACUAGUGACCCGGCGGUGGCUUGUGGAAGCGCCGUCGCUCAACGGAUAAAAGGUACCCCGGGGAUAACAGGCUGAUCUUGCCCAAGAGCUCAUAUCGACGGCAUGGUUUGGCACCUCGAUGUCGGCUCGUCGCAUCCUGGGGCUGGAGUAGGUCCCAAGGGUUGGGCUGUUCGCCCAUUAAAGCGGUACGCGAGCUGGGUUUAGAACGUCGUGAGACAGUUCGGUCCCUAUCCGCUGUGCGCGUAGGAAACUUGAGAAGACCUGUCCCUAGUACGAGAGGACCGGGAUGGACGAACCUCUGGUGUGUCAGUUGUCCUGCCAAGGGCACCGCUGAUUAGCUACGUUCGGACGUGAUAACCGCUGAAAGCAUCUAAGCGGGAAGCACACUUCAAGAUGAGGUUUCCAACACCCUUUGGGUGGAGAGGCUCCCAGCAAGACGACUGGGUUGAUAGGCCGGACGUGGAAGCACAGCAAUGUGCGUAGCUGACCGGUACUAAUAAGCCAACAACUUACCAACACAACAAACACGUUGU